UCCAGUCGCGUAGGCUUGAGUUGGUCGACGACAACGUUUUUUGAAUUGACUGUAAACAAAAAAUUGUUUCAGAGAACCCCACUAAACAUUAGUGUACAUCUUCUACUUGAACUGCCCGUGGUUGGGUGUGUAAACGUUAAGUGGAAUUAAGAUAUACAGCGCUAAAUACAAUUCUUUUCCACACUUUUCGCGCUAGGCUGCUACCGGUUGCUGCCUCUUCAGCAAUGGGAAUGUCCGUGGUAGGAUGUAAACAAUUAGUAAUAGAGAUGCAUCAACUUUAACUUAGUUAAUCUUAAAGAUGAAAACUCGUGUGGCCAUGCUUUCUACCACAUUUAUUCUUGGAAAUGGAAAUUCCAUUUUCUUUAGUAGGAGGACGAAAAAAAACAUAUCUCCAUAAAAACGCACCAAACUGGCUUCAAAAUCAAAAUCAAAUUCAAAAUUCUUCAAAAACAUCAAAGAUACAACAAGCUAUCAAGGAAUGUGGGUCUUGGGGGUAUGGCGAAACAAGACAAGGAGGUAAUGUAAAGUCAUUAUCCACACUGCAUGUGUUACCUUUUGGUAGUUAAGUUCACAGGCGGCAGCCCAAUCUCUUGUUCUGUGGUGUCGUAAUAUUUGAAUAUUUAAAUAAAAGUAUAAAUUCUUGAUA